UUGCAGACGUCGGACGCGUUCUUCACUCGCGGUUGUCAUUUCGUUAACCCUUUCUACACAGUCUUUUUAUUUUUCUGUUGGUUGUUGGUGGUGUGUUCAACAGUUUGCAGCGGCAAGAAGAAGAAUUGAGGAAAUUCCUUGCUCAAAUUGUUAUUAGUUUUGUUUUUGAUAAUUUAGAUAAGUUUUGUGUGACAAUCAGAAGAAAAAAACUGUUUGUUUGAAAUUUCCCCGGAGUCAUCGGUUGAACCCGUUUCAUCAAUUUCAGCAAGGCUGGUAGCACAGAUCAACAUUUUCGUGCACGGGCAGAAGGUGGCCAAUCGAUGAACCUCACGCCACCACCGGGCUUCAUGACCGCAAGGGAACAACCGCCAGAGCAGCGAUCCGAAAUCCAGCAGCAUCCAAAGUAGCUCAGCAGCAGCCCGUGAAGUGAAGAAAU